GCCUGGCUGGCUCAGUUGGUAGACCACGUGACUCUUGAUCUCAGGGUCAUGAGUUCAAGCCCCAUGUUGGGCG
rnacentral:tRNA from 1 species